rnacentral:rRNA from 1 species
UCGAGGAUCUUCGGCAAUGGGCGCAAGCCUGACCGAGCGACGCCGCGUGUGCGAUGAAGGCCUUCGGGUUGUAAAGCACUGUCGAGGGGGAGGAAAGCCCGCAAGGGCCUGACCUAUCCCUGGAGGAAGCACGGGCUAAGUUCGUGCCAGCAGCCGCGGUAAGACGAACCGUGCGAACGUUGUUCGGAUUCACUGGGCUUAAAGGGCGCGUAGGCGGGCGGUCUUGUCGGGGGUGAAAUCGUUCGGCUCAACCGGACCAGUGCCCCCGAAACGGGCCGCCUCGAGGGAGGUAGGGGCAUGUGGAACUUCCGGUGGAGCGGUGAAAUGCGUAGAUAUCGGAAGGAACGCCGGUGGCGAAAGCGACGUGCUGGACCUCUUCUGACGCUGAGGCGCGAAAGCCAGGGGAGCAAACGGGAUUAGAUACCCCCGUAGUCC